rnacentral:ncRNA from 1 species
ACGGUUCGGGAGAGAGCGCUCUUACCAUGCGCCGCCGAAGGGGAUAAAAACUCUCAGGCAAAAGGAUCGGAU